AUGGGAGUGGGGGGCACCUUGGAGUACCUGUCCGGGCUGCUGGGGGGCGGCGGAGGCCAUGGCCAUGGCCACGGCUACGGCAACAGGAGGAGGAGGAAGCAGAUGCAGACGGUGGAGCUCAAGGUCAGCAUGGACUGCGAGGGGUGCGAGCGCAAGGUCAAGAACGCGCUCUCCUCCAUGAAAGGGGUCCGAUCAGUGAACAUCAACAGGAAGCAGCAGAAGGUGACGGUGGCGGGGUACGUGGAGCCCAGCAAGGUGCUGAGGAAGGCGCAGUCCACGGGGAAGAAGGCCGAGAUAUGGCCCUACGUGCCCUACAGCCAGGUCAGUCAGCCCUACGUCGCCGGCACCUAUGACAAGCGGGCCCCGGCCGGCUACGUCAGGAGCCAGGAGCCCGGCUACGGCAACGUGUCCGGCCAGGUCAGCAGGCAGGACGACCAGCUCACCGACAUGUUCAACGACGACAACGCCAACUCCUGCGCCGUCAUGUGA
rnacentral:rRNA from 1 species